AGUGGAGUGCCUGAAAAAAGGAUAAUUUUGAUAGAAUUAAUCAUGUAGGAUCCUACCUACCUCCACCU
rnacentral:tRNA from 1 species